rnacentral:rRNA from 1 species
AAUAAGCACCGGCUAACUCUGUGCCAGCAGCCGCGGUAAUACAGAGGGUGCGAGCGUUAAUCGGAUUUACUGGGCGUAAAGCGUGCGUAGGCGGCCAUUUAAGUCAAAUGUGAAAUCCCCGAGCUUAACUUGGGAAUUGCAUUCGAUACUGGAUGGCUAGAGUAUGGGAGAGGAUGGUAGAAUUCCAGGUGUAGCGGUGAAAUGCGUAGAGAUCUGGAGGAAUACCGAUGGCGAAGGCAGCCAUCUGGCCUAAUACUGACGCUGAGGUACGAAAGCAUGGGGAGCAAACAGGAUUAGAUACCCUGGUAGUCCAUGCCGUAAACGAUGUCUACUAGCCGUUGGGGCCUUUGAGGCUUUAGUGGCGCAGCUAACGCGAUAAGUAGACCGCCUGGGGAGUACGGUCGCAAGACUAAAACUCAAAUGAAUUGACGGGGGCCCGCACAAGCGGUGGAGCAUGUGGUUUAAUUCGAUGCAACGCGAAGAACCUUACCUGGCCUUGACAUACUAGAAACUUUCCAGAGAUGGAUUGGUGCCUUCGGGAAUCUAGAUACAGGUGCUGCAUGGCUGUCGUCAGCCCGUGUCGUGAGAUGUUGGGUU